rnacentral:rRNA from 1 species
AACGAACGCUGGCGGCAGGCUUAACACAUGCAAGUCGAGCGCCCCGCAAGGGGAGCGGCAGACGGGUGAGUAACGCGUGGGAAUCUACCCAUCUCUACGGAAUAACGCAUGGAAACGUGUGCUAAUACCGUAUACGUCCUUCGGGAGAAAGAUUUAUCGGAGAUGGAUGAGCCCGCGUUGGAUUAGCUAGUUGGUGGGGUAAAGGCCUACCAAGGCGACGAUCCAUAGCUGGUCUGAGAGGAUGAUCAGCCACACUGGGACUGAGACACGGCCCAGGCUCCUCCGGGAGGCAGCAGUGGGGAAUAUUGGACAAUGGGCGCAAGGCUGAGCCAGCCAUGCCGCGUGAGUGAUGAAGGCCCGAGGUUUGUAAAGCUCUUUCACCGGUGAAGAUAAUGACGGUAAGCGGGGAAGAAGCCCCGGCUAACUUCGUGCCAGCCGCCGCCGUAAAAC